rnacentral:rRNA from 1 species
UACGUAGGUGGCAAGCGUUAUCCGGAAUUAUUGGGCGUAAAGCGCGCGUAGGCGGUUUUUUAAGUCUGAUGUGAGAGCCCACGGCUCAACCGUGGAGGGUCAUUGGAGACUGGAAAACUUGAGUGCAGAAGAGGAAAGUGGAAUUCCAUGUGUAGCGGUGAAAUGCGCAGAGAUAUGGAGGAACACCAGUGGCGAAGGCGACUUUCUGGUCUGUAACUGACGCUGAUGUGCGAAAGCGUGGGG